AGAGUUUGAUCAUGGCUCAGAUUGAACGCUGGCGGCAGGCCUAACACAUGCAAGUCGAACGGUAACAGGAAGAAGCUUGCUUCUUUGCUGACGAGUGGCGGACGGGUGAGUAAUGUCUGGGAAACUGCCUGAUGGAGGGGGAUAACUACUGGAAACGGUAGCUAAUACCGCAUAACGUCGCAAGACCAAAGAGGGGGACCUUCGGGCCUCUUGCCAUCGGAUGUGCCCAGAUGGGAUUAGCUAGUAGGUGGGGUAACGGCUCACCUAGGCGACGAUCCCUAGCUGGUCUGAGAGGAUGACCAGCCACACUGGAACUGAGACACGGUCCAGACUCCUACGGGAGGCAGCAGUGGGGAAUAUUGCACAAUGGGCGCAAGCCUGAUGCAGCCAUGCCGCGUGUAUGAAGAAGGCCUUCGGGUUGUAAAGUACUUUCAGCGGGGAGGAAGGGAGUAAAGUUAAUACCUUUGCUCAUUGACGUUACCCGCAGAAGAAGCACCGGCUAACUCCGUGCCAGCAGCCGCGGUAAUACGGAGGGUGCAAGCGUUAAUCGGAAUUACUGGGCGUAAAGCGCACGCAGGCGGUUUGUUAAGUCAGAUGUGAAAUCCCCGGGCUCAACCUGGGAACUGCAUCUGAUACUGGCAAGCUUGAGUCUCGUAGAGGGGGGUAGAAUUCCAGGUGUAGCGGUGAAAUGCGUAGAGAUCUGGAGGAAUACCGGUGGCGAAGGCGGCCCCCUGGACGAAGACUGACGCUCAGGUGCGAAAGCGUGGGGCGCAAACAGGAUUAGAUACCCUGGUAGUCCACGCCGUAAACGAUGUCGACUUGGAGGUUGUGCCCUUGAGGCGUGGCUUCCGGAGCUAACGCGUUAAGUCGACCGCCUGGGGAGUACGGCCGCAAGGUUAAAACUCAAAUGAAUUGACGGGGGCCCGCACAAGCGGUGGAGCAUGUGGUUUAAUUCGAUGCAACGCGAAGAACCUUACCUGGUCUUGACAUCCAC
rnacentral:rRNA from 1 species